CCAGCAGCUGCGGUAAUUCCGGCUCCAAUAGCAUAUAUUACAGUUGUUGCAGUUAAAAAGCUCGUAGUUGGAUUUCAAGAAUCUCAUCUGAGCAACCAGUAUGAAUUCUACCAGUCUUAGACUGUUACUGUGAGAAAAUUAGAGUGUUUCAAGCAGGCAAUUGCAGGAAUACAUUAGCAUGGAAUAACGAAUGUAUCAUCAAUUUGGUUGAUUGAUGGUUACGGUUAAUAGGGACAGUUGGGGGCAUUAGUAUUUAAUUGUCAGAGGUGAAAUUCUGUGAUUAGUUAAAGACUAACAUAUGCGAAAGUAUUUGCCAAGGAUGUUUUCAUUAAUCAAGAACGAAAGU
rnacentral:rRNA from 1 species